AGGUUUCCGUAGGUGAACCUGCGGAAGGAUCAUUAUUGAAUAAACUUGGUUGGGUUGUUGCUGGCUCCUUGGAGCAUGUGCACGCCUAGCGCCAUUUUUACCACCUGUGCACCCUUUGUAGACCUGGAUACCUCUCGAGGAAACUCGGUUUUGAGGACUGCCGUGCGAAAGCCGGCUUUCCUUGCAUUUCCGGUCUAUGUCUUUAUAUACCCCAUAAGAAUGUAACGGAAUGUUAUUAACUGGCCUUUGUGCCUUUAAUCAAAUACAACUUUCAGCAACGGAUCUCUUGGCUCUCGCAUCGAUGAAGAACGCAGCGAAAUGCGAUAAGUAAUGUGAAUUGCAGAAUUCAGUGAAUCAUCGAAUCUUUGAACGCACCUUGCGCUCCCUGGUAUUCCGGGGAGCAUGCCUGUUUGAGUGUCAUUAAAUUCUCAACCUUUCCAGCUUUUACUAGCUUGGUCAGGCUUGGAUGUGGGGGUUGCGGGCUUCUCAGAAGUCGGCUCUCCUUAAAUGCAUUAGUGAAACCUUUGUUGACCAUCUCUGGUGUGAUAAUUAUCUACGCCGUUGUAAGGUCUUCAGUUAUGAGGUUCUGCUUCUAACCGUCCUCUCGGGGACAACUCUUGACAUUUUGACCUCAAAUCAGGCAAGACU
rnacentral:rRNA from 1 species